rnacentral:misc_RNA from 1 species
AAAAAAAAAAAAACCCCCCAAAAAAAUCCAAAAAUUAUAAUAAUAAUGGAAAAUUUGAUGAGGGCUGAAGCUGCCACAUUCUUGGUUUUCAUGAUCAACAAGAGCACCAGAAGAAAGACGGUCAGAAAGAACUGAAAGCCAUAUUGAAUUUGACUACAACUAAUUGAUGUGAUCAAAUCAAAUUUUGAAGGGGUCAAUAGUUUAGGAAUGAAAAGAGCAACCACUGUUUAUAUCUGAACAACCACAUCGCCAAGUCUAAAAGUCCAAUAUCUGUAUUCUUUCCAUGUUGUAUACUUCAUGGUUUACAAGAUCUAUUCUCCCAUUCUUGGUAAUAUUUCUGCAUAGCAAAAUCUCAUAGAUGCCAAAAAGUUUUGAGCUAGUUAUACGUUUAUCUGAAGGGCACAAUUAAUGCCAUUAAGAAUAUGCUUCAUCGACCUAAUUGAAGCAGGUAAGUGGGGACACAUCCAAAGGAGAAUUAUUUAACUCUCACUUUUGAAAGGACCAAGUUGCCCUGGAGCAGAAAAGUUUAAGUUACAAAUGAGAAUUUAUUUGACAAAGAAGGUCAAUAAAAUCACUGGUUCCUAGCUUGGCAGAUUCUGAGGAACCCAAGAUUUGCCACUCAGGAAACAGAUAAUUAAGGUAUAAGGCAUGCAAACACUUGCAAAUUGUUCAUUAAACAUACCAUUCCCCAGAAAUUUUUUCGUGUGCUUUUCAAUUCUAGUAAACAUGAGACUUCUAACACAUCACCGUUCAAUGCUUUUUUUUCCCCUGAUUUACCUCCUGUCCAUCGUUGUUUUUCAUCCAGUGAGACAGUGACUGACUUGAAAAUGAAAAUGUCAAUAUAUUGAUUCUGAUACUUCUAAUCAAUCACUGAGAUAUUACAACCUAAGGUCAACUUCAGAGAUAGAAUUGCUUCAAAAACUUAAUUACGAUGAAUCAAUCAAUGAUUAAGCACUUACAGCAUGGCUAAGCAUAGCCACAAUUUUAUCACCAGUUUUGAAGUUCUUUACUCCUGGUCCAACCUCUAAAACUUCUCCCGCCACAUCAGUACCUGUUGCAGCAAAAAAUUUAUCGGCAGAAAAAAUUUACGGGGAAAGAUCAUUUUAAAGCUCCACAAAAAUUUAUAAGAUCCAAACACACCACUCAGUGUGUAUGCCCACAUAUACACUCAAACUAAGACAUUAGCACAUCAGCAUAAGAUCCAAAGAAUAUUAAAAAGAGCGUUUCUCAUGGGCUAUAGUAAUAUAAUCACAUAAUAAGAACAACAAUAAUAAUAUACCUGGAAUGUGAGGGAAUUUACGAGGCAUAAGAGGCCGCAAUAUGCCCUUUUGAAUUUUCCAAUCAACCGGAUUUAGACUAGUUGCUUCUAACUUUAUCAAAACCUCAUCUUUCUUUGGAGUAGGGACUGGAACUUCAACAUGCUUCAAACCAGCGGCUCCUCCACCAUAACUAUCAUAUUGAACGGCGUGCAUUAGCUUCCCCGCCAUGUUCAGAAGAAGCGAAGCCGUUUGGACAGAGAAAAGAGGCGUAUGCAGAAAGGAAAGGCGAGCGAGAAAUUCUAGAAAAAGUGAUGUUAAUAUUUUGAUAAUUUGGUAAGAUAACGGUGAUAAAAUGACUAAAAUUUCUCUAAUCACUAAAAAAUUGUUGUGGAGUGUUCUAGGCGCCGGUUUAAUGUGAGAGAAACGUGGAUCGCGUGGUUGUACGUUACACGUUUGUACGUUACACGCUGCGCAUUUGCCACCUUUUAUUUUUUUCUCCAUCUCUCGUCAUUAUCAUCGUUUGCUGAGGUCGUCUGAUUUUGUUGCCAGCAUCGGUCAUCGCCAACAAUAAG